rnacentral:lncRNA from 1 species
GGGCCUGUUUAGAAGUAGUUUCUCGAAGCACUUCCAAUCUUUGUCAGGAAACCAAACACGAAUCAGCAGCAGCGGCAGUCUUCUGCUGCAGAAAUGGCACAAGUCCAAGGCAGCGACCAGGACCGGCCGAGGCGACAGAAAAAAGGUCUCUGCCAUGCCUCUCUCAACAAAGUAAAGAUCAUCGAAGAUGAAGACACGAGGCCAAUGAAGCGUCGUGACGCAGGCUACGCAAGCACACUGCCGCUGUCAAUACUCUCCAGACAUCACGUGUCCUCCCACGUGUCUCGCCUCAGCAAAACACCAUAAAGCUGUCUGCAUAGUUUCCUGCCAUGCUGCUCUGUGCUCAGAUUCCGAGGUUCGGUGUUCCCAUUGUUGGAACAUGGUCCACGAAGCUGUGUGAGGUUUCUGAGACCCUGUGAGAAAACUCCAAGUACAAGACAAGAGUCCUGUGGUCUCUGCUCCUUCACAGCAUGGGGUUUUCUUGGAAUGCGUUUUUGUGUUCUUCCC